GACGAACGCUGGCGGCGUGCCUAAUACAUGCAAGUAGAACGCACAGUUUAUACCGUAGCUUGCUACACCAUAGACUGUGAGUUGCGAACGGGUGAGUAACGCGUAGGUAACCUGCCUGGUAGCGGGGGAUAACUAUUGGAAACGAUAGCUAAUACCGCAUAAUAUUAAUUAUUGCAUGAUAAUUUAUUGAAAGAUGCAACUGCAUCACUACCAGAUGGACCUGCGUUGUAUUAGCUAGUAGGUGAGGUAACGGCUCACCUAGGCGACGAUACAUAGCCGACAUGAGAGGGUGAUCGGCCACACUGGGACUGAGACACGGCCCAGACUCCUACGGGAGGCAGCAGUAGGGAAUCUUCGGCAAUGGACGAAAGUCUGACCGAGCAACGCCGCGUGAGUGAAGAAGGUUUUCGGAUCGUAAAGCUCUGUUGUAAGAGAAGAACGGGUGUGAGAGUGGAAAGUUCACACUGUGACGGUAUCUUACCAGAAAGGGACGGCUAACUACGUG
rnacentral:rRNA from 1 species